rnacentral:lncRNA from 1 species
GCUAGAGAUGACUGAAAGCCUACAGGAGGAUGUGUGUAGGAUGCAGACAAGCACAAUGCGGUUAUUCAUAUGAGACUUGAGCAUCUGUGGAUUUGGCUAUCCACAAGGGUCCUAGAAUCAGUUCCUUGCGGAUACCGAGGGAUGACUGGAUUAGGAGGCCAGGCAGGAGGACAGAGUUCUGAAACAGAGCCAUGCAGGGCAAUCCCAUAGGAGAUAAAGUUAGAAAACACUGUAAAUUAUGGUGCUGGGAGCUGUGAUUUAGACUCAGAACUGAUGCCUAAGCCCUUGUUGGCCCCAUCCCAGACUCCCAGAUGAUAGGCAGCUUUGAUGAGAUGGGUUGAUUCUGUUCUCUCCAGGGAGGGCUUUGUGGGACUCAUAACCAAAUAAGUGUAAUAUCUUUAUCUUCAGAACCCAAGAUCAAAAUGUAAGUUUUAAUGUGGACAUGAACAUAUAAAGAAGACCAAAUAGAAUAUUUAAAAUCAGGGCAUCCAAUGUAUUCAGAACUUUAAAAAGGUACAAAUGCUUUCUGAUCCCAAAGUUCCUGAUAUUUUAUCUUUAGCCACCUCUAAUAAGGUACCCCCUCCACUGGCCCAUGGAAGGAGAAACAGGUUUUUGAAAAAUCUCUGGGUACCAGGACAGCAGCAAGGUCCAAGUGGGCAGAAUGAAGGGCAUGGGAUAGGUAGCCAGGGAGUCCUGAUUCCUGGACAAUCAUGGGACCCUCUGUGUGACUUGGUUUCCAUCCUCUAGGAACAAGACCCCUGUCCGCCAUGCACCUCUGAGGAGAUUAUAGGAUGGAUGAAAGAGAGCCUCUUGAAAGGACCAGCUCCCACUCCAGAUAAUUGCUAGCUAAGUACCAAGGGCAUGUGGCUCAGUGUGACAAAAAGACAUCAGCCUGAUUUCAAGUUCCCAAGGAGCAGACACAAGCUACAAUAAGGCUUCCAAGCUCAAGAGACUGGUAUAAAAAGUCAGCCGAAGCUGUAACCAGAAGUAAUAACAAGGCAAACGUGGGCUGGAAACAGGAGGCCCACAGCCUUCAGGGCUGCUGGGAAACAAGCUACAGAAUGGACACAUUUGGCCCAGUGUAGUCUGAAUCCCUGAAGAAUCAUGGAGAAGAAAUGGAGGAGCAAGCAGCCAGCAGUAGAGAGGAAGUCGCUGAGCUCUGAGGAGGUUGCGAAUCCAGUCACACAGGCAGAUAGUGGGACACACGGACCUCUCUGGGGAAAGGGUGAUCUCAGAGCCUUUGUGGGCCUGGUGGCCAAGCUCAUCUCAGGUCUCCUCAAAAGUGGCCUAUGAAAG